AUUGAACGCUGGCGGCAUGCUUUACACAUGCAAGUCGGACGGCAGCACAGAGAAGCUUGCUUCUUGGGUGGCGAGUGGCGAACGGGUGAGUAACAUAUCGGAACGUACCGGGCAGUGGGGGAUAACUAAUCGAAAGAUUAGCUAAUACCGCAUAUCUUCUGAGGAAGAAAGCAGGGGACCAUUUGGCCUUGCGCUGUUUGAGCGGCCGAUAUCUGAUUAGCUAGUUGGUGGGGUAAAGGCCUACCAAGGCGACGAUCAGUAGCGGGUCUGAGAGGAUGAUCCGCCACACUGGGGCUGAGACACGGCCCAGACUCCUACGGGAGGCAGCAGUGGGGAAUUUUGGACAAUGGGCGCAAGCCUGAUCCAGCCAUGCCGCGUGUCUGAAGAAGGCCUUCGGGUUGUAAAGGACUUUUGUCAGGGAAGAAAAGGGCGGGGUUAAUACCCCUGUCUGAUGACGGUACCUGAAGAAUAAGCACCGGCUAACUACGUGCCAGCAGCCGCGGUAAUACGUAGGGUGCGAGCGUUAAUCGGAAUUACUGGGCGUAAAGCGGGCGCAGACGGUUACUUAAGCAGGAUGUGAAAUCCCCGGGCUCAACCUGGGAACUGCGUUCUGAACUGGGUGACUAGAGUGUGUCAGAGGGAGGUAGAAUUCCACGUGUAGCAGUGAAAUGCGUAGAGAUGUGGAGGAAUACCGAUGGCGAAGGCAGCCUCCUAGGAUAACACUGACGUUCAUGCCCGAAAGCGUGGGUAGCAACAGG
rnacentral:rRNA from 1 species